ensembl:lncRNA
CACAAGCUUAUGUUUAUUUUUUAUUGGCACGACAUUCAUUUGUACAUUAGAAGUGUUGUAUUUCAGCCCCUGAAAAGUCUAGUGGUCUUGUACGCCCAUAAUGUGUACAGUCAGUGUACAUUCAUUAAUAGGGGAUGACAGUAUGUCAGUUCCCUUUAUCAUGCUCAGUGAAUUCUUUCAAACAGCCCAUCUUGGAGCUCUUCCACACUGCCAUAACCAAGUGUUGCUUGGUUCUCCCCCAGCGUUUAAUCUGAAAGAAGAGGGAUCAUUAAAAUAGAUGGAAAUAGCAGAUCAAGAGAAGCAAACUGGUUGGGAUCGAGCCUCAGGUAAAUUGUAGAAUCAAGGGCUGCGUAAGCAGCGCUCAUACGAGGUGUCAGAAAUAAAGAGUUUGUCAUCAAGGGCUACAUAUGAGGUAUGACCGUGCAUGCAUCAACUUACUAUAGUAAGCCAACACCAGUCUUGAGGUGGUGGUGAAUAUGAGUUCUGCCUCUCCUUCCCAGUACAAGCGCAUGUCUGCAAGGCUGCGGAAAUGGAACCAGGAGGUGAAUUAAGAGGCUAUUCUGUGGCAUAAACGUGCACCAGUGGUGAUUGAUAAAGCCUCAGAAAUUAAAACAGAGCAUUGUGCUAUUGACUAGCCAUCAUACAAGGCGUCAGUAAUUAAGGUGGUCAUCAGUGGCGACAAAUGAUGAGAUACACGUUAUCACUUGAAGUAGCUUACCAGAGUCAAACAGCACUGAUCCAAACUACAGCCAGCUGAGGGAAAAGUGAAAUGGGAUUAGUUCACCACCAAGCUUUGAACAGAAGAUACUGGGUUUAUAGGAGCCUCAGAAUAUAAAAAAAUCACUGGAGCCAAUACUGGCUCUCAUACGAGGUGUCAGAAAUAAAGAGUUUGUCAUCAAGGGCUACAUAUGAGGUAUGACAGUAAAUUCCCCAACUUACUAGUCAGACGUCAAGUAUUGAGGUGUUGGCGAAUAUGGGAUCUGCUUCUCCUUCCAGGUACAACACGUGUAGCCUGCUGAAAGGGAAUCGGGAUGUGAACCAAAAGGCUAUUCUGUGACAACCCGAGCAUCACCCCUUUAAGCACCACCAUGUGCAGUGGUGAUGGAUAAAGCCUCAGAAAUUAAAACAGAGCAUUGUGCUAUUGACUAGCCAUCAUACAAGGUGUCAGCAAUUAAAGGUUUUCAUCAGUGGCUACAAAUUAUGGUAUGCAUAUUAUCACUUUGAUUAACUUACCGGAGUCAAACCGCACAGGGCCAAACUACAGCCACUAGACGUCCUGCUCCCAGUUAAACAUCAUGCAGCUAUCCUUGAGAAGGCCGAGGGAAAAGUGAAAUGGAAUUAGUUCACCAAGAGCUUUGAACAGAAGACAGUGUGCUUAUGGGAGCCUCAGAAUAAAGACAGAAUCACUGGAGCUAUUACUAGCUCUCAUACGAGGUGUCAGAAAUAAAAGGUUUGUCAUCAAGGGCUAGAAAUGGCAUUCACAUGAAGAACCUUUAAAAUAAACUUACUAGAACUAGGCUUCGGGCCAUGAUGGCCACCCAGCUGGUUGCUGCUACAACUCCAGUUUGACCCAUGAUGCAGUCCAUGGCAAAUCUGAGGCUGCACAAAAAUCUGAUCAGGAUGAGCCCAUAAAGCUUUGAUUUGCAAAGACGGUCUAUGUUAUGGAUACGAGCCUCAGAAGAAAUUCAGAAUCACAGGAGCUAUUACUAGCUCUCAUACGAGGUGUCAGAAAUAAAGUGUUUGUCAUCAAGGGCUACAUAUGAUGUGUGGCAGUACAUGCAGCAACUUACUAUAGUAAUAUAUCAAGUCUUGAGGUGGCGAUUAUGGGAUCUGCUUCUCCUUCCCUGUACAACCAGCGUAGUCGUCUGCGGGAGGGAACCAGUAUGUGAUCAAAAGGCUAUUCUGUGACAUCAUAUGCACCAGUGGUGAUGGAUAAAGCCUCAGGAAUUAAAACAGAGCAUUGUGCUAUUGACUAGCCAUCAUACAAGGUGUCAGCAAUAAAAGGUUGUCAUCAGCGGCUACAAAUUAUGAUAUUCCCGUCACUUUAAUUAACUUACCGGAGUCCCAUCAGCACGGAUCUAAACUACAGCCAGCAGAAGUCCUGGACCCGGUUCAACUCAUGCGGCGGUCCUUGAGAAGGCUGAGGGAAAAGUGAAAUGGGAUUAGUUCACCAAAAAUCUAAUCCCAUUUGAUGAUACUGUGCUUACAGGAGCCUCAGAAUAUAGACAGAAUCACUGGAGCUAUUACUAGCUCUCAUACGAGGUGUCAGAAAUAAAGAGUUUGUCAUCAAGGGCUACAAAUGAGGCAAGACAGUACAUGCAGCAACUUACUAGAGCAAGACCACAAGUCUUGAGGUGCUGGUGAAUAUGAGAUCUGCUUCUCCUUCCCGUUACAAGUGUUGUCUGUAAAAGGAUACCAGGACUUGAACCAAACUGCCAUUCUAGGACAUGUGCAUCAGUGGCGACGAUAAAGCCUCAGAAAUUAAAACAGAGCAUUGUGCUAUUGACUAGCCAUCAUACGAGAUGUCAGUAAUAUAAUGUGGUCAUCAGUGGCUCCAUCCGACUGUCAAAAGAUGUCACAACACUAGCAUGAACUCACCAAAUUACACCAUCACCAACUGCAGUCUUGAGGUUGUGCUACCUCUUCAACUUUAGCUCAGAGUCAAUGCUGCGGAAGAUGUAAAACAGGAUAAGGGCAAGUUCAUCCAGACAACUGUUAAAAAGUAUACGGGUGAUGCCGAGAGCCUCAGAAGAAAAUCAGAAUCACGGGAGCUAUUACUAGCUCUCAUACGAGGUGUCAGAAAUAUAGAGUUUGUCAUCAAGGGCUACAAAUGGUAUCCACAUGAAGAACCUUUAAAAUAAACUUACUAGAACUAGGCUGUGGUGGUCAUCCAGCUGGGUGCUGCUACACCUCCAGUUUGACCCAUGGAGCAGUCCCAGGAAUGCUGAGGAAGAAGGAGAAAUCUGAUCAGGAUUUGAAUUGUGAACCAUAAGGCUUUGAUUUGCAAAGACAGGUUGAGUUAUGGAUUUGAGCCUCAGAAUAUAGACAGAAUCACUGGAGCCAUUACUAGCUCUCAUACGAGGUGUCAGAAAUAAAGAGUUUGUCAUCAAGGGCUACAAAUGGUAUUCACAUGAAGAAUCUUUAAAAUAAACUUACUAUAACUAUUCUGUAGGUUAUGGUAGCCCUGGGCGGUGCUACACCUCCAGUUUGACCAAUGAAGCACUGCUGGGAAAUCUGAGGAAGUACAAAUCUGAUCAGGAUACGACCCAUAAAGCUUAGAUUUGCAAGGAUAAGCGGUGUUACGGAUACGAGCCUCAGAGCAUAGACAGAAUCACUGGAGCCAUUACUAGCUCUCAUACGAGGUGUCAGAAAUAAACAGUUUGUCAUCAAGGGCUACAUAUGAGGUACGACCGUACAGGCGUCAACUUACUAGAGUAAGACAUCCAAGUCUUGAGGUGGUGAAUAUGUGAUCUGCUUCUCCUUCCCUAAACAACAAGCGUAGUCGUCUGCGCGGCUGCUGAAAG